CCUACGGGCGGCAGCAGUGGGGAAUAUUGGACAAUGGGGGAACCCUGAUCCAGCCAUGCCGCGUGUGUGAAGAAGGCCCUCGGGUUGUAAAGCACUUUCAGUGAGGAAGAACGCCUGGUGGUUAAUACCCAUCAGGAAAGACAUCACUCACAGAAGAAGCACCGGCUAACUCCGUGCCAGCAGCCGCGGUAAUACGGAGGGUGCGAGCGUUAAUCGGAAUUACUGGGCGUAAAGCGCGCGUAGGUGGCUUGAUAAGCCGGUUGUGAAAGCCCCGGGCUCAACCUGGGAACGGCAUCCGGAACUGUCAAGCUAGAGUGCAGGAGAGGAAGGUAGAAUUCCCGGUGUAGCGGUGAAAUGCGUAGAGAUCGGGAGGAAUACCAGUGGCGAAGGCGGCCUUCUGGACUGACACUGACACUGAGGUGCGAAAGCGUGGGUAGCAAACAGGAUUAGAUACCCCGGUAGUC
rnacentral:rRNA from 1 species